rnacentral:tRNA from 1 species
CAAAUUAUUCUUAGGGAAUUUUUCAUUUACAUUGAAGAGUAUUUCGUGCAAUUCGAUAUAAUUUGA